GCGGUGCUGCGCGGCGCGCGAGACACUUCAUCCCCGGGGCCAGUAUCUACCUAUAGGGAGCUGUCCCUGCCGGAGCCCUGGUUUCGGUAUAUGGCGCCCACCUGCGAAAGCGGGCCUUAGGUGGAUGACAUCGUCGGACGGCCGUGCGGCAUCGUC
rnacentral:other from 1 species